rnacentral:rRNA from 1 species
GCUUACCCAUACCACCUGAAUGGCCCGAUCUCGUCUGAUCUCGGAAGCUAAGCAGGGUCAGGCCUGGUUAGUACUUGGAUGGGAGACCGCCUGGGAAUACCAGGUGCUGUAAGCU